rnacentral:rRNA from 1 species
GUGGGGAAUAUUGGACAAUGGGCGCAAGCCUGAUCCAGCAAUGCCGCGUGUGUGAAGAAGGCCUUCGGGUUGUAAAGCACUUUUAUCAGGAGCGAAAUACCACGGGUUAAUACCCUAUGGGGCUGACGGUACCUGAGGAAUAAGCACCGGCUAACUUCGUGCCAGCAGCCGCGGUAAUACGAAGGGUGCAAGCGUUAAUCGGAAUUACUGGGCGUAAAGCGUGCGUAGGCGGUUUGUUAAGUCUGUUGUGAAAUCCCCGGGCUCAACCUGGGAAUGGCAAUGGAUACUGGCAAGCUAGAGUGUGUCAGAGGAUGGUGGAAUUCCCGGUGUAGCGGUGAAAUGCGUAGAGAUCGGGAGGAACAUCAGUGGCGAAGGCGGCCAUCUGGGACAACACUGACGCUGAGGCACGAAAGCGUGGGGAGCAAACAGGAUUAGAAACCCUAGUAGUCC